AAUUUUUUGUUUUAGACACAUGGCAUUUGCUAUCUCACUGUAAGUUAAAACUAGUUGUAAAAUUAAAAAAUUUAUAUUGGAACUUCUAUUUCUUUUAACAUUCAUGUUUAUUUAAUUGAGUUACAACUAAGGUUAUAUAUGAGUUAUUUAUACUAUCUUAGAAUUUGCUGCUUUAGAGGCACGGCAUUUAGUGUCACAUUACACGUGGCAUGUGGUAUCCCACUAUUACAACUAAGUUUGUGUAUGGCUUGUUUAUAUUAUUUCAGAAUUUGCUAUUUUAGACACUUGGUAUAAGCUGUCAUACUGUAAGUUUAAAUUGAUUGUAAAACUUAUAUUGUAACUUGCAUUUCUAUUGGCGAGCAUAUUUAUUUAGUUGAGUUUCAACUAUUAAUAAUAAUAAUAAUAAUAAGUUUAUAUCUGGCGUGUUUAUAUUAUUUUAGAAUUUUCUGUUUUAGACAUGUGGCUUGUGAUAUCCCACUAAUUAGCUAUUUUAAACAUGUGACAAGUGGAGUUGACAGCAUGGUGUCCGAUUUAAAGUGCGAACCUGUGUACGAGUAACAACAGUAUUUAAAACCAAAACAUUAAACCAACCAAACCAAAACUAGCGACCAAAAACUAAUAUCUUGGCAUUGGUUUAUUUUAAACAUCUAUUAUAUAUAUGUGUGUGUUUUAUAUAAAUGUACUAGCUUGAGUAUAGUGUAUUAA
rnacentral:lncRNA from 1 species